UAGCUUCUACUUUGCACUUGAUUUGCUCGCACAUUUGCUCACAAUGUUUCUUGAAUCUUGUUUUGUACAGUAGUUCUGGAAUUCUGGUGCAUAUCGUUCUAGUUCUCAGCUUCCUGGGCUUCUGCUUUUCUGACAAAAUGAAUAAGGAAUAAGUGUUUGGACCAUAUACAUUUCUAAGACACGUGGACUGACAUUCGCCAUAAUAAUAGACAUCUGCUCAUGGACAGAAUAAGGGGUGAGUUUGGACCAUACAGAGUUUGGGAAAUUUGUCAUGAUGGACAUCUGCUCAUGGACAGGUAUAAAUCCACACACUGGCGUCCUCUCACCACCGACUCUCUUUGAGUUUGGCGUCUCGAUGAAUAACUCCACUACACUUACUGACCACAAGAGGGAGCCGCUGACCACUGUUUUCACCUGUCUUAUAUUCAACGGGAUAAAUAGGAAAUCUGCUUGAGUGUGUAAACGUUAAGUAAUGAGUUAGUGAGCAAACCCGAAGUAAUUUUCAAUCUAGUUGCAU